rnacentral:rRNA from 1 species
AACGAACGCUGGCGGCAUGCCUAACACAUGCAAGUCGAACGAGACCUUCGGGUCUAGUGGCGCACGGGUGCGUAACGCGUGGGAACCUGCCCUUAGGUUCGGAAUAACUCCCCGAAAGGGGUGCUAAUACCGGAUAAUGUCUUCGGACCAAAGAUUUAUCGCCUUUGGAUGGGCCCGCGUUGGAUUAGCUAGUUGGUAGGGUACAAGCCUACCAAGGCGACGAUCCAUAGCUGGUCUGAGAGGAUGAUCAGCCACACUGGGACUGAGACACGGCCCAGACUCCUACGGGGAGCAGCAGUGGGGAAUAUUGGACAAGGGGCGAAAGCCUGAUCCAGCAAUGCCGCGUGAGUGAUGAAGGCCUUAGGGUUGUAAAGCUCUUUUAGCCGGGAUGAUAAUGACAGUACCGGGAGAAUAAGCUCCGGCUAACUCCGUG